UACGUAGGGUGCGAGCGUUAUUCGGAAUUACUGGGCGUAAAGCGCGCGCAGGCGGUUUUGCAAGUCAGGUGUGAAAUCCCCGGGCUCAACCUGGGAAUGGCAUUUGGGACUGCAAGGCUGGAGUGUGGCAGAGGAGACUGGAAUUCCUGGUGUAGCAGUGAAAUGCGUAGAUAUCAGGAGGAAUACCGAUGGCGAAGGCAGGUCUCUGGGCUGACACUGACGCUCAUGCACGAAAGCGUGGGGAGCAAACAGG
rnacentral:rRNA from 1 species